ACUCCUACGGGUGGCUGCAGUGGGGAAUAUUGCACAAUGGGCGCAAGCCUGAUGCAGCGACGCCGCGUGGGGGAUGACGGCCUUCGGGUUGUAAACUCCUUUCGCCAGGGACGAAGCGUUUUGUGACGGUACCUGGAGAAGAAGCACCGGCUAACUACGUGCCAGCAGCCGCGGUAAUACGUAGGGUGCAAGCGUUGUCCGGAAUUACUGGGCGUAAAGAGCUCGUAGGUGGUUUGUCACGUCGUCUGUGAAAUUCCACAGCUUAACUGUGGGCGUGCAGGCGAUACGGGCUGACUUGAGUACUGUAGGGGUAACUGGAAUUCCUGGUGUAGCGGUGAAAUGCGCAGAUAUCAGGAGGAACACCGAUGGCGAAGGCAGGUUACUGGGCAGUUACUGACGCUGAGGAGCGAAAGCAUGGGUAGCGAACAGGAUUAGAUACCCUGGUAGUCCAUGCCGUAAACGGUGGGCGCUAGGUGUAGGGGCCUUUUGGGGUUUCUGUGCCGUAGCUAACGCAUUAAGCGCCCCGCCUGGGGAGUACGGCCGCAAGGCUAAAACUCAAAGGAAUUGACGGGGGCCCGCACAAGCGGCGGAGCAUGUGGAUUAAUUCGAUGCAACGCGAAGAACCUUACCUGGGCUUGACAUACACCGGAUCGCUGCAGAGAUGUAGUUUCCCUUGUGGCUGGUGUACAGGUGGUGCAUGGUUGUCGUCAGCUCGUG
rnacentral:rRNA from 1 species